rnacentral:misc_RNA from 1 species
AAGGAGCACACACCAACACGUGUUUCAGCAGGCGUUUGUUCUGCGGCGCGUGUGUGUUCGAGGGUGAAACAUCAAACACGCCACACAAGGUGCCGGCCUCAUAUGGGCAGGCGCUGGUGGCGAGCUUUCCGGGCGACCGGCUUGCUGCUCCCAACACACUAUCGGGGUUCUGAGAGAACACACGUUUUCUCUGAGCUGAUCAUUGUGACGUCGUGCUGAGCCACCCUGUGAUGGGGUGUGGAGCGGCGAAGGGGUGAUCGGUGUGUGUUGUUUGAGAAGUGCAUAGUGGAUGCGAGCAUCUUUAUUUCAAAUCAACUUUUUGUUGGUCUGUGAUUUAGCAGAAUUUGUAGUGUGUGAUGUCUACAUUCGGUCCUCGCGGUGCGGCCCUGUUGUGGGGUUGUGGUGUGGGGGUUGUUUGUAGGUGUUGUU